AUGAUGAGCUGGAACUGUCGAGGCUUGGGUCAGCUUCGGAUAGUCCAAGAACUUGUGUGUCUCUCAAAGAUGCAUCGACCCAAUGUUAUCCUUCUUUCUGAAACUAGACAAAACAAAAAGUAUGUUGAGAGUUUGCGUUAUCGAUUGGGCUUGAAAUAUGUUUAUAUUGUUUCUGUACAAGGAAAAGGUGGGGGCUUGGCAGUUUUUUGGGAUGAGAAAUAUUCUCUUGAACUAAAUAAGUUUGGUGAUCAUUUUAUUGACAUGUACAUCAGCAAUGGAGAUGGAUCUAAAUGGAGAUGUACCUUCGUUUACGGGGAACCAAAGGCGAGCCAAAGGUACAUUAUGUGGGAUCUUUUGAGGCGGAUAAAACCUCUUGGCAUGGGUCCUUGGUUUUAUGGUGGGUGA
rnacentral:rRNA from 1 species